AAUAAAGUAAGCUAAUUUAAGCUUUUAGGCUCAUGUCCUAAAUAUGGAAGAGUAAAAUCUCCCUUUAUUU
rnacentral:tRNA from 1 species